CCUACGGGAGGCAGCAGUGAGGAAUAUUGGUCAAUGGCCGAGAGGCUGAACCAGCCAAGUCGCGUGAGGGAAGACGGCCCUACGGGUUGUAAACCUCUUUUGUCGGGGAGCAAAGCGAGUCACGUGUGACUCAUUGAGAGUACCCGAAGAAAAAGCAUCGGCUAACUACGUGCCAGCAGCCGCGGUAAUACGUAGGUGGCAAGCGUUAUCCGGAUUUAUUGGGUGUAAAGGGCGUGUAGGCGGGAAAGCAAGUCAGAGGUGAAAGCUCAGGGCUCAACCCUGAGCCUGCAUUUGAAACUGUUUUUCGUGAGUGCUGGAGAGGCAAUCGGAAUUCGGUGUGUAGCGGUGAAAUGCGUAGAUAUACGGAGGAACACCAGUGGCGAAGGCGGAUUGCUGGACAGUAACUGACGCUGAGGCGCGAAAGCGUGGGGAGCAAACAGGAUUAGAUACCCGAGUAGUC
rnacentral:rRNA from 1 species